AAGAACUGAGUCUGGUUGGCUGGCUGAGGAAGCAUGUUGCCUGCGUGAUUAGCUAUCAUUCCAGGAUUCUGUGCUGUUCUGGAAGGGGACAUGGCCAUCUAGGAAAGCAGGAGAACGCAUCACUGCGGUACUGGUAUCGACAGACAUUUCUCCUUGGUCACCACUGGUAUUACGCCGGCGUCACAAGAAAAAAGCCGAGCUGGGGUUGAUGUUCGCGAGUAUCGACAGACUUUUCUCCAUGGUCACCACUGAUAUUAUGGCAGCGUCACAAGAAAAAAGCCAACGAACAGCCCACACUUUUGAAGUUAUUAAAAAAAAAAAAGAAAUUUCAGUGGCUGAGGUUUAGUUUUAAGCAAAUGUUGCUUUGACUCAAACUUGGACCAUUUGCUGUUUCAAGCAGUCGGUUUUAAAGUCUUAAUGAAUAUGAAAGAGCUCAAACUCACUGCCGGGAUGGAGUUCACGUUCAGCUGCGAGGGAUGAUUCAUGUGCGAGGGAGCUCGUGGCCCCAAGACCGCCUGCGACGUCUGCGCGUUUUGCAUCGCGUUGUACGCGUUAAGUGCUUAAGAAAGAAAACAAGGAUAUGUCGGUCAAUGACAUUGCCACGAGUUCAAGACGUGACAUGGUAUUUGAACUGAGUGUAUUUCCAUAAAAAGAAAUCCCAAUACCUUGAGUCACGUGCAGACGGUUCAUGAUCUGAUUUGGCAUAGGUGCAGGUCCAUCUGAAGUGGAACACAAUCAAUCACUCAAAAAUGAUUGCCGCACCUCAGAAAGAAAAAGUGCUGAAUGCAACGACUGACUGGGAAGUCGGACGGGCUGUCCCAGCGGGCCCGUGGCCUGAGUCACUGAAGGCACCGUGCCAGGCUGCCUCUGGAUCCGCAGGCGCCGCUUCUCCUCCAGCUCCUUCUGGAUCUUGUAGAUCUUCUCCGCCAGGAAGUGGUAAUACUCGUCCUAGUCAGAGGGAGAGAAGAGACUUAAGCCUUAAGUAGGUUCCCACGGCCGUCACCAAGACGACAAGUAAAUUAUUUACCCUACUGUUGGCUGACUCGUACAUGUCGCCCUCAACUUUGCGCGCGUACGCAACCAGGUUGUCCAUUCUGCGGUCCUUCAGUGCUGCAGGGUCUGGGGUUGGGAAUAUGGCUUGUACUCUGGGGUGGGGUAAGGUGUGUGUGUUUAGACACUCUUUUUGAUCACAUGUCCUCGUGUCAGUAGACGCAGUCUCUCACACACACACGCACGCACGACAUACAGUUUGUGCACCAGGUGGGUGCGCAGGUCCUGAGUGACGUGCUCAUGCCAGGCCUUCCUGACUCCCGAAGCGGAGAGCGGGGCGGCGGCAGGCAAGUUUUCCACGCCCCCUGCCGUCGACCCGUCUGGCAACAGUGGACUGGAGGACAAACAGAAGAAAGUCAGCAGGAUUCAAACAAAGAGAACCCAGAAGAGAAGAGGAAACAUGGUGGAUCCCCGCCUCACUUGUUGAGUGAGGAGGGCAAGGAGUCGCCGUGCAAGCCGGUCUGGUCCAAAGAGGGGACCCCCGUGCCUGCUGCCAUUUGCUUCAUGUGAUGACACCCUGAUAAACAGGAGACAGAAAUGAGGCACGUGCUUGUUGUUGAUGACAAGAAACGUUGGUCUUCCUCAUCUACCGAGCACGUUGAUAUUUUGCAGCUGCUGGUGCCCCUGGGGGUUGUGGUGAGCAGGAACCUGGCCCUGGUUCUGAGCAGGAGACUGGUUGCCGUAGGGGAGCCCCAGAGCGGCGUAGGCCCUCUGCAUGGAGCUGGGGUCAAUGUGUGUUGCCGAGCUGUUGAUGGGCGGGGCGUUUGGCUGGGCGGCCCCUGUUGUGCCGAUAGCAGUCUGCAGGCUGCCCCCAAGGGAACCUAGCAUGGCUUAAGUGUGAGGGGAGGAGGGUUUUAAGGUUAAAAUCAUUCUCCAAAAGAACACCAGGUCAAACUUUGGAUUCGUCAACCAAAACAUCCAUUUGUGUUGAAUAACAGUUGUUGACGAGCGCUCGGCCCAGCAGCGCUCCCGGCAGCAUGCAGUCUCGAUGGGGGGGUUUAAAUCCGUCAUUGGCUCUUUUGAACCAAUCAGAGAGCGGUUCACCUUCAAAGCCCCGCCCCCUCACCAGAAAGAAACAGCAAAGCCUCUCCCCUGCGUAUCCCAUUACAGGCCCUGCCUUUCCUGAGGAAACCUGGAAUGAGUUGCGGCCCUCACGUUGAGUACUGUGCCACCUGCAGGUGACGCCACCUCAUAUUUUCACAUUCACUUGAAGCUGACACUGAGCAUUUUGUACCUCAAUAAGAAAGCACAGAGCACCUUCAGUUGAUAGCUUUUUGUUGUUUGUUUCAACAUUUAAAUGUCCAAAAAUCCAGCACUCACGUUGCUGAUUCCUCUUGUCACUUGCAUUCUUCAGAGGCAGGCAGACGGGACAGUCGUGCCGCGUGCAGUUCUUCCAAUGGGAGAUGAUCUGUCUGGACGACGCGCAGUGGGUCACUACGGGAAGAGAGAUCGGAUGACCCGUGGCUCUGGCAAGCAGACAACAAACUUUUGCCCUCCUCCCAAUUUGAAUUUGACAGUUAAGACGAGGACAAGCAGUAAACAAAGCCUCAAAGACCAAACGUAGGGAUUUUGCCGGCUUUCGCAAAGUGCGUGUUGCAUAUAAACAGGAGCCUUUAUGAAUGGCUACACACA